CUCAGAGAUCAGAGGAGAGAAAAACUUCAACAACAAAAGCUAAAACGCGCAUAAGCCCAUUCAGAAAAAUGUGUCAAACUAAACGAUAUGUUAAUUACCACACAAACUUUGGCCACUG